UACCAAUGCCCCUUAUUGGUGGAAUCCAGGAGGAAGAUAUCUGCUAAAGGAGCCUAGGACAGCAUUUUGCGAGCACCCAACCCCAGGGCUCCCUUGCUGGGGAUAGAAGGAUGAAUGUGGAGCGGAAAGCUAGUAAUUAAUGCCGGAGCUUAAGGUCUCAAUGAGAUGGAUUAGAGGUGUGGAGUCCAGUUGUGAUAGGCUGCUUCUGAAAUGGCUCCCAAUGAUCAUUGCCUCUUGGUGAUCAUGCCUCGUGUAAUCCCCUUGCUUUGUGUGUGGACUAGAACUAGUGACGUGGUUCUAACAAAUACAAUACUGCCAAAAUGAUGGGGUGUGACUUCCAUCAUUAUGUUAUAAAAGACUGUGCCUUCUGGGGCGCCUGGAUGGCUCAGUGGGUUAAAGCCUCUGCCUUCGGCUCAGGUCAUGAUCCCAGGAUCCUGGGAUCGAGCCCCG